AUUGAACGCUGGCGGUAGGCCUAACACAUGCAAGUCGAACGAGUGGCGGACGGGUGAGUAAUGUCUGGGAAACUGCCUGAUGGAGGGGGAUAACUACUGGAAACGGUAGCUAAUACCGCAUACCAUCAGAUGUGCCCAGAUGGGAUUAGCUAGUAGGUGGGGUAAUGGCGCACCAAGGCGACGAUCCCUAGCUGGUCUGAGAGGAUGACCAGCCACACUGGAACUGAGACACGGUCCAGACUCCUACGGGAGGCAGCAGUGGGGAAUAUUGCACAAUGGGCGCAAGCCUGAUGCAGCCAUGCCGCGUGUGUGAAGAAGGCCUGCGGGUUGGAAAGCACUUUCAGCGAGGAGGCGUUACUCGCAGAAGAAGCACCGGCUAACUCCGUGCCAGCCGCCGCGGUAAUAC
rnacentral:rRNA from 1 species